rnacentral:lncRNA from 1 species
GGAGACUGCAGUUUGCAGUGAUGUGGCUAAGAUACCCUUGUGCUAUUAAAGGCACAUUUACGUAUCUUUCAACGCAGUUUGUACCUUUGUUUAGGGUUCUAUUGAACUUUCUCUGUGCUCUUUAGAAAACCGUCGAAUAAAGGGAGGUCAUGGACCAAGUACAAAGCGGCAAAAGGAUGGAAUUAAGGUACCUGACAUUGUUGAACCCUUGCCUGAUGCCACAUUAGCUCAGGACUACCUACAUGGACAUGGAUAUUUCCAGUGAAAGAAAGAAGAAAGCAUGCUUUUCUCUUGACUGUGCAGAAAAAAAAUCUAUGUUUCUUUGAUUCUCCAUUUUACUAGAUGCCAUACCUUUGUAGUUACUUCAUGUGGAGUCUUGACCAAGAUUCAGGAAAUACUAGAACUUUCAGUCCCAGAAGGUUACUCUGGGCAUUACUAGUCCCCAUCAUUAUGAGUUGAGUUUUACUAGUUAAUUUCAGACGAAAAAUAUUUGUUUUUCCCCAAAUUCUGGGGUUACGUACUUUUAC